rnacentral:rRNA from 1 species
AACGAACGCUGGCGGCAUGCCUAACACAUGCAAGUCGAACGCGUGUAGCAAUACACGAGUGGCGGACGGGUGAGUAACGCGUGGGAACCUGCCCAGUGGUAGGGAAUAACUGCGGGAAACUGCAGCUAAUACCCUAUACGCCCUUUGGGGGAAAGAUUCAUCGCCAUUGGAGGGGCCCGCGUCGGAUUAGCUAGUUGGCGGGGUAAUGGCCCACCAAGGCAACGAUCCGUAGCUGGCUGAGAGGAUGAUCAGCCACACUGGGACUGAGAUACGGCCCAGACUCCUACGGGAGGCAGCAGUGGGGAAUAUUGGACAAUGGGGGAAACCCUGAUCCAGCAAUGCCGCGUGAGUGAAGAAGGCCCUCGGGUUGUAAAGCUCUUUCGGCGGGACGAUGGUGGACGGUACCCGCAGAAGAAGCCCCGGCUAACUUCGUGCCAGC